CUCUUCGUUUCUGGUCAUCCUUCCACCCUCUCUGCCUCGUCUCCAUCUCUUUCUUCUUGAUCACUGCUUCCCUUCACGUCUUCCCAAUCGAGCUGCCACUGUUAUUUCCUUGCGGCGCUGUUUUUGCUAGUUUAGCAGCACACUCACUCAUCACCCUCAUGUGCUGCCACAGACCUGCACAUCUAUAACGUCUAAAAAAAGCAGUGGUAGAGUUCAUUUAAUCUUUGACAGCUCUUUGUAGGCCGUAAACAUUCAGGAACAGCAUUUUAACCACCAUCCUGUCUGCUCUGACCUCAACCACUGGAACCAGUGAAUCACCUGUAUUGACACUGCAGGGAACACAACCUGGAUAUCAGAGCUGAAGGAGCGAGUGUGCAGCGGCGCUCUGAUGUGGUCCUGAAGUAACGUGACAGUGUGAUAGAACAGUAAGAGCAGCAGAGCAUAAGAUGACCCGGGCCUCGUGUACCUAAUUGAACAGCACUCUGGUCCGUGGAGACCGGAGGAUAUCGUUCUCCCCGCAGCUUCGGCGAUUCAUUUUCCCCUGACUGUCGACCUGCUGCCAGAUCAUUAAUGACAGAAUGCUGUCGACGGCUGAAUGUGCAGCGGAGGCUCAGAGACGCUGAAGAAGUACAGCGUGUGAAUUAUACCUCAUUACACGCAAAACUGCUGCUUGAGUGGAGGAAAAGAAUAUUAAUAGUAAAAGUAUAAAAAGUAAAAGUACUUGCAUGUAAAAUAUCAUGUAGUUUAGUGUUAAACUGCUCAGUGAACUACAUCAGCAACACAUCAGCAGCACCAACAUGGACACAACUCAGCUCAGAAAAGGUACUGAAAAAUAUAAAAAUCACAAUAAAUCUGCUCAUGUUGUCAACUGCAGUGAAGUGAGAGGAGAGUUGGUUCUGGUUCAGUUCUGUGAGCUGCUGAUUUACAGGAGCAGCUCUACAAUAUUUGAGUUAGGUUGUUUUGGUGAACGUUCAGCCAUGGUGGUGCACUGGAAGGCAGAGCCUGAAGUGAAGGAUAUAACACAGGAACUAUGGAAAGAAUCGCCACCGGCCUCCAUGUUGCUUUCUGUUAUCACUCUGCAGAGUGUGAAGAAUCUGAGCGUCAUGUCAAUGAGCCCUGAACACUUUGCUUUCAGUGCAAUAGUUACAUGUGUGUUAGUCUUAAGUGUGUGUACACUUAUAUGGUGAUUUUCUUCAUGUAUGUAGAUGUGUUAGUAAGUGUUCAUGAGUAU